AGAGUUUGAUCCUGGCUCAGGAUGAACGCUAGCGGCAGGCUUAACACAUGCAAGUCGAGGGGCAGCGGGGAGGAAGCUUGCUUUCUCCGCCGGCGACCGGCGCACGGGUGAGUAACACGUAUGCAACCUGCCCCUGUCAGGGGGACAACCCGCCGAAAGGCGGGCUAAACCCGCGUACAUGCCACCGGGGCAUCCCGGAGGCAGGAAAGGCUUCGGCCGGACAGGGAUGGGCAUGCGGCGCAUUAGGCAGUAGGCGGGGUAACGGCCCACCUAACCGACGAUGCGUAGGGGUUCUGAGAGGAAGGUCCCCCACACUGGUACUGAGACACGGACCAGACUCCUACGGGAGGCAGCAGUGAGGAAUAUUGGUCAAUGGUCGGGAGACUGAACCAGCCAAGCCGCGUGAGGGAGGAAGGUACAGAGUAUCGUAAACCUCUUUUGUCAGGGAACAAAGACUGGGACGCGUCCCCGGAUGAGUGUACCUGAAGAAAAAGCAUCGGCUAACUCCGUGCCAGCAGCCGCGGUAAUACGGAGGAUGCGAGCGUUAUCCGGAUUUAUUGGGUUUAAAGGGUGCGCAGGCGGUCUGUUAAGUCAGCGGUCAAAGCCCGGGGCUCAACCCCGGCCCGCCGUUGAAACUGGCAGUCUCGAGUUGGAGAGAAGUAUGCGGAAUGCGCGGUGUAGCGGUGAAAUGCAUAGAUAUCGCGCAGAACUCCGAUUGCGAAGGCAGCAUGCCGGCUCCACACUGACGCUGAGGCACGAAAGCGUGGGUAUCGAACAGGAUUAGAUACCCUGGUAGUCCACGCAGUAAACGAUGAAUGCUGGCUGUCCGGGGGGACUGACCCCUGGGUGGCGAAGCGAAAGUGAUAAGCAUUCCACCUGGGGAGUACGCCGGCAACGGUGAAACUCAAAGGAAUUGACGGGGGCCCGCACAAGCGGAGGAACAUGUGGUUUAAUUCGAUGAUACGCGAGGAACCUUACCCGGGCUCAAACGGGGAGUGCCGCAGGCAGAGACGCCUGUUUCCCACGGGACACUCCCCGAGGUGCUGCAUGGUUGUCGUCAGCUCGUGCCGUGAGGUGUCGGCUUAAGUGCCAUAACGAGCGCAACCCCCGCGUGCAGUUGCUAACAGAUAACGCUGAGGACUCUGCACGGACUGCCGGCGCAAGCCGCGAGGAAGGCGGGGAUGACGUCAAAUCAGCACGGCCCUUACGUCCGGGGCGACACACGUGUUACAAUGGGUGGUACAGCGGGAAGCCAGGCGGCGACGCCGAGCGGAACCCGAAAUCCACUCUCAGUUCGGAUCGGAGUCUGCAACCCGACUCCGUGAAGCUGGAUUCGCUAGUAAUCGCGCAUCAGCCAUGGCGCGGUGAAUACGUUCCCGGGCCUUGCACACACAGCCCGUCAAG
rnacentral:rRNA from 1 species